AAUGGGCGCAAGCCUGACCCAGCAACGCCGCGUGAAGGAAGAAGGCUUUCGGGUUGUAAACUUCUUUGACAGGGGACGAAAGAAAUGACGGUACCCUGAAAACAAGCCACGGCUAACUACGUGCCAGCAGCCGCGGUAAUACGUAGGUGGCAAGCGUUGUCCGGAUUUACUGGGUGUAAAGGGCGCGUAGGCGGGAUGGCAAGUCAGAUGUGAAAAUUAUGGGCUCAACCCAUAACCUGCAUUUGAAACUGCUGUUCUUGAGUAUCGGAGAGGCAGGCGGAAUUCCUAGUGUAGCGGUGAAAUGCGUAGAUAUUAGGAGGAACACCAGUGGCGAAGGCGGCCUGCUGGACGACAACUGACGCUGAUGCGCGAAAGCGUGGGGAGCAAA
rnacentral:rRNA from 1 species